UACGAAGGGGGCUAGCGUUGCUCGGAAUUACUGGGCGUAAAGCGCACGUAGGCGGAUCGUUAAGUCGGGGGUGAAAUCCUGGAGCUCAACUCCAGAACUGCCUUCGAUACUGGCGAUCUCGAGUCCGGGAGAGGUGAGUGGAACUGCGAGUGUAGAGGUGAAAUUCGUAGAUAUUCGCAAGAACACCAGUGGCGAAGGCGGCUCACUGGCCCGGUACUGACGCUGAGGUGCGAAAGCGUGGGGAGCAAACAGG
rnacentral:rRNA from 1 species